AAUACCAGUGAAUUGAGUCCUGCUACACUACACUGACUGGCUCAUCGUGUGCCUACUCUGCAGCAGGAGCUAAUAACCUGUUGAACCCCAUUCCUGAUGGGGAUCGGGGAUUGCAAUUAUUGCCCAUGAAUUAGGAAUUCCCAGUAAGUGCAGGUCAUAAGCUUGCAUUGAUUAAGUCCCU
rfam:Cricetulus griseus cell line CHO-K1, whole genome shotgun sequence.